GUUAGUAAUCAAAUUAUAAUUCAUUUUUCUUUUUAUUUUUGUUCGUUUUCCUUCCAUCAUUUUAUCUUACUUUAUUUUUUCUUCAAAUUGCUAAACCUAAACUUAACUCCAUCAAACUCUUCCUUUUCCUCAUGGUCAUCUACACUCUUUGAGCCGCCUUCCCGUCACAGCGAUUCUCGACNAGGAAAAGNGCAAUGGCGACCCGNUGCAAAGUGCUGANAAGGUGAUCUCGUAGAGGAGCUCGAUGUCGCCUGUCANGAAGGCGGUGAGGAGUUCGGGCGUUGGACUGGACGAGGGAGUCGCAGACUUGGGAGACGAGUAUACAGUCGAAGGGGUUUUCAGUUCUAGGUUUUCCAUUUUUAUUCAAAACUCAAAUCUUAAAAUCAUCUCUUUUAGGUUUAGGUUUCAUGUUUCAGAGGCUUCACCUUUCACCACUGUCCUCAAAUUCGUGACAUCAUAAAACCCUAAUCGAAGUUGAGACAAUUCUCAAACGCCUCGGCACUUAUGGCGGCCACAACAGUAUUGUUUGGAAAUUCUGGUUAACUCAUAACAGGGAGUGGGGAUUAUUGCUGCCCUGUACGUGUUUGAUGAAAUUCCUAGGUUAAGUGCAAUACAUUUUUGCUGCCCACCAUCGUUCUUCUGAUAAGAAACGCAUUUUUAUAGUUUAAGUGCUUUCUGUGCAAAUUUUGAACAAUGUUAUACCAUAUUUUGGAAGGAGUGGUUGAUGGGUCAGUAAGGGAUGUUGGGUCAGAAUACGGUCCUUUUAAGAGGUCUAAGGGAAGAAAGUUUGAGAAGGCAAGAGGAAGAAGGAACAACAGAGGAUUUAGAGUUUAAGAAGAUAGCUUUCUAUUUUUAAUAGUGUUCUGAAAUUCAACUGGAACUGGAAGAGUGUAAGAAUAAUGAUGUUGUUGCUAAUAUACUUUCUAAAGGUACCAAACUUAGGGACUACACGAAAGGAGUAGAGAACGAUUUACGUAAAGUUGAAUUGGAUUCAAUUCAGGAUUAUAUCAAAGAAAGUGAUAAUCUAGUCUCUCUUCAUGAUCAAAUUCGUGAUUGUGAUAGUAUUUUGUCACAGAUAGAAACUCUUCUAAGUGGAUUUCAGGCUGAAAUUGGUUCCAUUAGUUCAGACAUAAGAAUACUUCAGGAGAAAUCUAUGGAUAUGAGUUUGAGACUUAUGAAUCGCAAGGUUGCUGAAUCCAAAUUGGCUAAGUUUGUGGAGGACAUAAUUGUACCUCCAAGGAUGGUUGAUAUUCUUGUUGAUGGAGAGGUAUUUAUAUUUUUAAUAGUGUUUCGACAUAAAGCGAGUAAAGAUCGUAAGUCGUUUCAAGAAGUGUUUUAUGAUGCUUUUGUUUUGUCAAUUGUGGUAGGUGCUUGUUUUGAUCCAUGUGUACCGUCUUGUUUUGUUUUUUGGUGU